CCCUUAGAUGUUCUGGGCCGCACGCGCGCUACACUGAUGCAUUCAACAAGCCUAGCCUUGACCGUGAGGUCCGGGUAAUCUUUGAAACUGCAUCGUGAUGGGGCUAGAUUAUUGCAAUUAUUAAUCUUCAACGAGGAAUGCCUAGUAAGCGUGAUUCAUCAAAUCGCGUUGAUUACGUCCCUGCCCUUUGUACACACCGCCCGUCGCUCCUACCGAUUGAAUGUGUUGGUGAGGAGCUCGGAUUGGCAGCAGUUGGUGGUUCGCCACCGGCUAUUGCUGAGAAGUCCUCCAAACCGCCCCAUUUAGAGGAAGGAGAAGUCGUAACA
rnacentral:rRNA from 1 species